rnacentral:lncRNA from 1 species
AAUUUACUUUAUUGACAUUAUCAAUAAGGAUGUAUUUAUGGGAAACAAACAUGAAGUAUAGCUCACACUUACAGGAUUUGGCAGAUGAGGAAACUGAGGCACAAAAAGGUGAAGUCCUGAGCUCACAGUCAUGCAACCAGCAGGUGGUGAAACACACCUCCAAGCUGCCUGCCUCCUAAGCAUCAAGCUUUGUGGCCCAGGAUCUACUUCAUGCUCCAAAUAUUCAUGGACCUUCCCAGGACCUCAACAAAACAAAACCAUGAAGAAAAACCUUGACAUGAACCCCAAAAAAACCCAGUCAGCAAUAUUUUAAGUUAAAUUUUGAAACAAAUCCAAACGGGUUCCUCCCCAUAAAUCUACCAGUAAAUUGUGCAGAAUCAGAACUGAAGCCAUGCCCUUUCUUAAAGUAUUGAAUUAGAAUAAAUGAGAACAUCUAAAUAUUUUCCAAAUUCAUAUUCCAGUUAUAAUAUUCAAGUUUCUUAGUUUCUCUCUGUUCACAUUCAACAUGAAAUAGUCCCAUUAGUCAGUAGCAAGAGCUGCAACAUUUCUACAGGUACUAAAGGAUGUGAUCAGAGCAGGGAAGAUGGCCAACAAGAUGAUGCCACUCUAGCGGGUGCCCAUCCAAAUCAUAACCCAUGAAUACUGCGGCUUUAUUAUCUUGGACAACAGAAAGCUGAUCUUGUAAUUGGAUGAUCACCCCUGCUUGCAUGCUUUCGAGUAGUUACGUAUGACAAAAGGAGCUACUGGUUUUGUGAUGAUGGGUUUCUGGGUAAACCCUAGAUGCAGAAGCAGCUUUUAAGCAUAGCAGAGCAAGAGUCAAAUGGUUCUGAAAAAAGUUUUAACUCUGAGAUGACUUCUCCCCGCUUCUUUCACUCUACCCUCUCAAUCCUAGAGCAAGUGAGCAGAGUAGGUAAAGCUGUUUCCUCCAGAAAGAUGAUCCAUAUUUUAAACAGCUCUGUGAAUGGGGCACUAAGACUCAGAAGAUCUGGUUUUCAGUUCGCAUUCUGCCUUUAACUGGUCUUGAAAGUUUGGGCAACUCAAUUAUCUCAUGGAGUCAGUAUUUGCAUCUGUACAGUGGGGAUAUGAAUACCUGUCUUACCUACACGGAGCUGUAAGAGCAACAGAAUGUGAGCUGGCAUGAUGUUAUUAUAUGUAUCACCUUGGUUAUUUUAAAACAUGCUUGAUGUAUUAGC